UUAAGCGACUAAGCGUACACGGUGGAUGCCCUGGCAGUCAGAGGCGAUGAAGGACGUGCUAAUCUGCGAUAAGCGUCGGUAAGGUGAUAUGAACCGUUAUAACCGGCGAUUUCCGAAUGGGGAAACCCAGUGUGUUUCGACACACUAUCAUUAACUGAAUCCAUAGGUUAAUGAGGCGAACCGGGGGAACUGAAACAUCUAAGUACCCCGAGGAAAAGAAAUCAACCGAGAUUCCCCCAGUAGCGGCGAGCGAACGGGGAGCAGCCCAGAGCCUGAAUCAGUGUGUGUGUUAGUGGAAGCGUCUGGAAAGGCGCGCGAUACAGGGUGACAGCCCCGUACACAAAAAUGCACAUGCUGUGAGCUCGAUGAGUAGGGCGGGACACGUGGUAUCCUGUCUGAAUAUGGGGGGACCAUCCUCCAAGGCUAAAUACUCCUGACUGACCGAUAGUGAACCAGUACCGUGAGGGAAAGGCGAAAAGAACCCCGGCGAGGGGAGUGAAAAAGAACCUGAAACCGUGUACGUACAAGCAGUGGGAGCACGCUUAGGCGUGUGACUGCGUACCUUUUGUAUAAUGGGUCAGCGACUUAUAUUCUGUAGCAAGGUUAACCGAAUAGGGGAGCCGAAGGGAAACCGAGUCUUAACUGGGCGUUAAGUUGCAGGGUAUAGACCCGAAACCCGGUGAUCUAGCCAUGGGCAGGUUGAAGGUUGGGUAACACUAACUGGAGGACCGAACCGACUAAUGUUGAAAAAUUAGCGGAUGACUUGUGGCUGGGGGUGAAAGGCCAAUCAAACCGGGAGAUAGCUGGUUCUCCCCGAAAGCUAUUUAGGUAGCGCCUCGUGAAUUCAUCUCCGGGGGUAGAGCACUGUUUCGGCAAGGGGGUCAUCCCGACUUACCAACCCGAUGCAAACUGCGAAUACCGGAGAAUGUUAUCACGGGAGACACACGGCGGGUGCUAACGUCCGUCGUGAAGAGGGAAACAACCCAGACCGCCAGCUAAGGUCCCAAAGUCAUGGUUAAGUGGGAAACGAUGUGGGAAGGCCCAGACAGCCAGGAUGUUGGCUUAGAAGCAGCCAUCAUUUAAAGAAAGCGUAAUAGCUCACUGGUCGAGUCGGCCUGCGCGGAAGAUGUAACGGGGCUAAACCAUGCACCGAAGCUGCGGCAGCGACGCUUAUGCGUUGUUGGGUAGGGGAGCGUUCUGUAAGCCUGUGAAGGUGUACUGUGAGGUAUGCUGGAGGUAUCAGAAGUGCGAAUGCUGACAUAAGUAACGAUAAAGCGGGUGAAAAGCCCGCUCGCCGGAAGACCAAGGGUUCCUGUCCAACGUUAAUCGGGGCAGGGUGAGUCGACCCCUAAGGCGAGGCCGAAAGGCGUAGUCGAUGGGAAACAGGUUAAUAUUCCUGUACUUGGUGUUACUGCGAAGGGGGGACGGAGAAGGCUAUGUUGGCCGGGCGACGGUUGUCCCGGUUUAAGCGUGUAGGCUGGUUUUCCAGGCAAAUCCGGAAAAUCAAGGCUGAGGCGUGAUGACGAGGCACUACGGUGCUGAAGCAACAAAUGCCCUGCUUCCAGGAAAAGCCUCUAAGCAUCAGGUAACAUCAAAUCGUACCCCAAACCGACACAGGUGGUCAGGUAGAGAAUACCAAGGCGCUUGAGAGAACUCGGGUGAAGGAACUAGGCAAAAUGGUGCCGUAACUUCGGGAGAAGGCACGCUGAUAUGUAGGUGAAGCGACUUGCUCGUGGAGCUGAAAUCAGUCGAAGAUACCAGCUGGCUGCAACUGUUUAUUAAAAACACAGCACUGUGCAAACACGAAAGUGGACGUAUACGGUGUGACGCCUGCCCGGUGCCGGAAGGUUAAUUGAUGGGGUCAGCGCAAGCGAAGCUCUUGAUCGAAGCCCCGGUAAACGGCGGCCGUAACUAUAACGGUCCUAAGGUAGCGAAAUUCCUUGUCGGGUAAGUUCCGACCUGCACGAAUGGCGUAAUGAUGGCCAGGCUGUCUCCACCCGAGACUCAGUGAAAUUGAACUCGCUGUGAAGAUGCAGUGUACCCGCGGCAAGACGGAAAGACCCCGUGAACCUUUACUAUAGCUUGACACUGAACAUUGAGCCUUGAUGUGUAGGAUAGGUGGGAGGCUUUGAAGUGUGGACGCCAGUCUGCAUGGAGCCGACCUUGAAAUACCACCCUUUAAUGUUUGAUGUUCUAACGUGGACCCGUAAUCCGGGUUGCGGACAGUGUCUGGUGGGUAGUUUGACUGGGGCGGUCUCCUCCUAAAGAGUAACGGAGGAGCACGAAGGUUGGCUAAUCCUGGUCGGACAUCAGGAGGUUAGUGCAAUGGCAUAAGCCAGCUUGACUGCGAGCGUGACGGCGCGAGCAGGUGCGAAAGCAGGUCAUAGUGAUCCGGUGGUUCUGAAUGGAAGGGCCAUCGCUCAACGGAUAAAAGGUACUCCGGGGAUAACAGGCUGAUACCGCCCAAGAGUUCAUAUCGACGGCGGUGUUUGGCACCUCGAUGUCGGCUCAUCACAUCCUGGGGCUGAAGUAGGUCCCAAGGGUAUGGCUGUUCGCCAUUUAAAGUGGUACGCGAGCUGGGUUUAGAACGUCGUGAGACAGUUCGGUCCCUAUCUGCCGUGGGCGCUGGAGAACUGAGGGGGGCUGCUCCUAGUACGAGAGGACCGGAGUGGACGCAUCACUGGUGUUCGGGUUGUCAUGCCAAUGGCACUGCCCGGUAGCUAAAUGCGGAAGAGAUAAGUGCUGAAAGCAUCUAAGCACGAAACUUGCCCCGAGAUGAGUUCUCCCUGACUCCUUGAGAGUCCUGAAGGAACGUUGAAGACGACGACGUUGAUAGGCCGGGUGUGUAAGCGCAGCGAUGCGUUGAGCUAACCGGUACUAAUGAACCGUGAGGCUUAACCUU
rnacentral:rRNA from 1 species